AAAUGACUUGAUUGAUAUAAAUUUUUUCUAUAUGGAAACGAAAUUGACAUUUUUCCAAAAGAGAGACGAAUUUGACACACUUCAACCAAACUGAAGACAAAAAAAAUAAUUAAACAAAAAUAAAAAAUAAAAAAUACUGAAAAGGGUAGUUUGGUAAUUGAAGGGUCAGGGAAUAUGAAUGAGGUGGAAGCAAUAAAGAGGGUGACCCACAUACAGAGAGGCAGAUGAAUAAAGGACCUUUUCUUCACAAAAAGACAAAAAAAAAAAGAAAUGAUUUUGUCACAAACAUUACAAAACUAAUAAUAGCUGGGCCCCUCGACACGUGUCACUAGAUGCGCGUGCUUCUUC
rnacentral:lncRNA from 1 species